rnacentral:rRNA from 1 species
UACGAAGGGGGCUAGCGUUGUUCGGAAUUACUGGGCGUAAAGCGUGCGCAGGCGGCUUCUCAAGUCAGGGGUGAAAGCCCAGAGCUCAACUCUGGAAUUGCCUUUGAGACUGAGUGGCUUGAGUACGAGAGAGGUGAGUGGAAUUCCGGGUGGAGCGGUGAAAUGCGUAGAGAUCCGGAGGAACACCGACGGCGCAGGCAGCGUCCUGGCCGCUUGCUGACACUGAGGCACGAAAGCUGGGGGAGCAAACAGG